GCGCUCUUAGCUCAGUUGGAAGAGCAACUGGUUUACACCCAGUAGGUCGGCGGUUCGAGCCCGUCAGAGCGCAC
rnacentral:tRNA from 2 species